UACGUAGGGGGCAAGCGUUGUCCGGAUUUAUUGGGCGUAAAGGGCUCGUAGGCGGCCAACUAAGUCGGACGUGAAAUCCCCAGGCUCAACCUGGGAACUGCGUCCGAUACUGGAUGGCUUGAAUCCGGGAGAGGGAUGCAGAAUUCCAGGUGUAGCGGUGAAAUGCGCAGAUAUCAGGAAGAACACCCGUGGCGAAGGCGGUUCUCUGGGACGGUACUGACGCUGAGACGCGAAAGCGUGGGGAGCGAACAGG
rnacentral:rRNA from 1 species